GUGAAGGGUUUCUGACAUUCAGCCUUGCUUAGGACUGCCCCUGAGAGCUGAGCUGGGUCUCUUAGGCCUCCCUGUGAGCCACCUGGCUGGGUCCGUGGGAGGAAGGAGGAGGUUUUGGGAGCCAGUAGGUGGAUGCAUUGUAUUUGCACUGGUAGUGUCUUGCCUGUGUGUAUAGGCCUGCAGGAGCAGCCACUCCAGAGGCCAGUUGGACCAAACUUACAGGACAUCAGAUAAAGCUCAGGAGAGCUGCUGGAGUAGGGGCUGAGGCAGAAGCCCUGCUGAGUUCAGGUGCAGAGAAGAGCUUGGUUUUACUCCUGAACUUCUGCUGGCCUUGCAGAAAUGUCCCCCCACAUCGCCUCCCUGCCAUGCUCGAUGGGAGUCGGCCCGGUGCGUGAAGGAACUGAAAUCCUCCUUGGAGUUACCUCAGGCUUUGGGACUGUUGCUUUUCAGGUUACAGUGAGUUCAACUAGAGUUAAGGUGACAGUUGUGCUCCAAGCUGCUGACAAAUUGGCAGCCAUCAUCUUGAUGAUCUGUUUGCUACUAACAUUUUCCCAAGGAAGGAACACAUACAAGGGAGAAGGAACAAUGAACUUGAGAGCAUCAAGCUACUUAAAAAUAAGGUUCACUGCCACCUCCCCCACCAUACUUUACUGUCCCUGA
rnacentral:lncRNA from 1 species